UCAGUACCACGAUCCUGAUGAUGAACC
rnacentral:piRNA from 1 species